rnacentral:sRNA from 1 species
AAGCGCUGCAACUACAUCAUGGCUCAACUAAACUUAGACGACGACUAAACUUCAUGAAUGAAUGCAGAGGCAACAGCGGAAACUAAGAGAACUAUGAAAAAUCUGAGCAUCUAACUGGAAUUUGCUUGUUCACCAGGAGACAGCUCCUCUGUCCGCUACCGUCUUUUUAUCCAAAUCUGUUACUGUAUAUCCAUCUUCACCGCAGCAUCAGUUCAGUUUCUAUUGCACCUGCCAAAGGAUGAGCCAGUAUGGUAUCAACGCCUUCGCAU